ACUGGCAUUGUAGACACUUGAGA
rnacentral:piRNA from 1 species